rnacentral:rRNA from 1 species
CUUGCUCUCUUGGCGGCGAGUGGCGGACGGGUGAGUAAUAUAUCGGAACGUGCCCAGUAGCGGGGGAUAACUACUCGAAAGAGUGGCUAAUACCGCAUACGCCCUACGGGGGAAAGGGGGGGAUCGCAAGACCUCUCACUAUUGGAGCGGCCGAUAUCGGAUUAGCUAGUUGGUGGGGUAAAGGCUCACCAAGGCAACGAUCCGUAGCUGGUUUGAGAGGACGACCAGCCACACUGGGACUGAGACACGGCCCAGACUCCUACGGGAGGCAGCAGUGGGGAAUUUUGGACAAUGGGGGAAACCCUGAUCCAGCCAUCCCGCGUGUAUGAUGAAGGCCUUCGGGUUGUAAAGUACUUUUGGCAGAGAAGAAAAGGUACCUCCUAAUACGAGGUACUGCUGACGGUAUCUGCAGAAUAAGCACCGGCUAACUACGUGCCAGCAGCCGCGGUAAUACGUAGGGUGCAAGCGUUAAUCGGAAUUACUGGGCGUAAAGCGUGUGUAGGCGGUUCGGAAAGAAAGAUGUGAAAUCCCAGGGCUCAACCUUGGAACUGCAUUUUUAACUGCCGAGCUAGAGUAUGUCAGAGGGGGGUAGAAUUCCACGUGUAGCAGUGAAAUGCGUAGAUAUGUGGAGGAAUACCGAUGGCGAAGGCAGCCCCCUGGGAUAAUACUGACGCUCAGACACGAAAGCGUGGGGAGCAAACAGGAUUAGAUACCCUGGUAGUCCACGCCCUAAACGAUGUCAACUAGCUGUUGGGGCCGUUAGGCCUUAGUAGCGCAGCUAACGCGUGAAGUUGACCGCCUGGGGAGUACGGUCGCAAGAUUAAAACUCAAAGGAAUUGACGGGGACCCGCACAAGCGGUGGAUGAUUGUGGAUUAAUUCGAUGCAACGCGAAAAACCUUACCUACCCUUGACAUGUCUGGAAAGCCGAAGAGAUUUGGCCGUGCUCGCAAGAGAACCGGAACACAGGUGCUGCAUGGCUGUCG